AUACGGAGGGUGCAAGCGUUACUCGGAAUCACUGGGCGUAAAGCGCGCGCAGGCGGUCUUUUAAGUUGGAUGUGAAAGCCUACAGCUCAACUGUAGAACUACAUCCAAAACUAUUAGACUAGAGUCUGGGAGGGGAAGAUGGGAUUAGUUGUGUAGGGGUAAAAUCCGUAGAGAUAACUAGGAAUACCAAAAGCGAAGGCGAUCUUCUGGAACAGUACUGACGCUGAGGCGCGAAAGCGUGGGGAGCAAACAGGAUUAGAAACCCCAGUAGUCC
rnacentral:rRNA from 1 species